GACGAACGCUGGCGGCGUGCUUAACACAUGCAAGUCGAACGGAGUGGCGAACGGGGGAGUAACACGUGGAUGACCUUCCCUGCACUUCGGGGUAAGCCUGGGAAAAUGGGUCUAAUACCGGAUAGUGUGGGAUGGGCGCGCGGCAUAUCGGCUUGGUGGUGGGGUAAUGGCCUGACAAAGCGGCGCCGGGUAGCCGGCCUGAGAGGGUGGACGGCCCCAUUGGCACUGGGACACGGCCCAGAGUCAUACGGGAGGCAGCAGGGGGGAAUAUCGCACAAUGGGCGGAAGCCUGAUGCAGCGACGCCGCGUGGGGGAUGACGUUCUUCGGGGUGUAAAUUCCUUGCACCAGAGACGCGGUAGAUGGAGAAGAAGCACCGGCUAACUCCGUGCAAGCAGCCGCGGUAAUU
rnacentral:rRNA from 1 species